CCUACGGGAGGCUGCAGCAGGGAAUCUUGCGCAAUGGGCGAAAGCCUGACGCAGUGACGCCGCGUGAGGGAUGAAUGCCUUCGGGUUGUAAACCUCUUUCAGCAGGGACGAAGCGAAAGUGACGGUACCUGCAGAAGAAGCCCCGGCCAACUACGUGCCAGCAGCCGCGGUAACACGUAGGGGGCGAGCGUUGUCCGGAUUUAUUGGGCGUAAAGAGCUCGUAGGCGGCCGUGCAAGUCGGACGUGAAAACCCAGGGCUCAACCCUGGGAGGUCGUUCGAUACUGCUCGGCUAGAGGCAGGUAGGGGAAAGUGGAAUUCCUGGUGUAGCGGUGAAAUGCGUAGAUAUCAGGAGGAACACCGGUGGCGAAGGCGGCUUUCUGGGCCUCGCCUGACGCUGAGGAGCGAAAGCUGGGGGAGCGAACAGGAUUAGAUACCCCUG
rnacentral:rRNA from 1 species